AAAUAGAUACCCAGGUAGUCCACGCCGUAAACGAUGAGUGCUAAGUGUUAGGGGGUUUCCGCCCCUUAGUGCUGCAGCUAACGCAUUAAGCACUCCGCCUGGGGAGUACGGUCGCAAGACUGAAACUCAAAGGAAUUGACGGGGGCCCGCACAAGCGGUGGAGCAUGUGGUUUAAUUCGAAGCAACGCGAAGAACCUUACCAGGUCUUGACAUCCCACUGACCGCUAUGGAGACAUAGUUUUCCCUUCGGGGACAGUGGUGACAGGUGGUGCAUGGUUGUCGUCAGCUCGUGUCGUGAGAUGUUGGGUUAAGUCCCGCAACGAGCGCAACCCUUGAUCUUAGUUGCCAUCAUUUAGUUGGGCACUCUAAGGUGACUGCCGGUGACAAACCGGAGGAAGGUGGGGAUGACGUCAAAUCAUCAUGCCCCUUAUGACCUGGGCUACACACGUGCUACAAUGGACGGUACAAACGGUUGCCAACCCGCAGGGGGGANCGUAAUCCGGAUAAAACCGUUCUCAGUUCGGAUUGUAGGCUGCAACUCGCUAC
rnacentral:rRNA from 1 species